rnacentral:lncRNA from 1 species
CAUUCCCAGUCCCCAGUCCCCAUUCCCAGUUCCCAGUCCCCAUUCCCAUUUCCCAGUCCCCAAUCCCCAAUUCCCAGUCCCCCUUUCCCAGUUCCCCAUUCCCAGUUCCCAAUUCCCAGUCCCCAGUUCCCAUUUCCCAGUUCCCAGUCCCCAUUCCCAGUCCCCAUUCCCAGUCCCCAUUCCCAGUUCCCCAUUCCCAGUUCCCCAUUCCCAGUUCCCCAGUCCCAGUUCCCCAGUCCCCAUUCCCAGUUCCCAUUCCCAGUCCCCAGUCCCAGUUCCCAGUCCCCAUUUCCCAGUUCCCCAUUCCCAGUUCCCAUCCCCCAUUCCCAGUUCCCAUUCCCAGUCCCCAGUCCCCAUUUCCCAGUCCCCAUUCCCAUUUCCCAGUUCCCAUUCCCAGUCCCCAUUCCCAGUCCCCAUUCCCAUUCCCAGUUCCCAGUCCCCAUUCCCAGUUCCCAGUCCCCAUUUCCCAGUCCCCAUUCCCAUUUCCCAGUUCCCAUUCCCAGUUCCCAGUCCCAGUUCCCAGUCCCCAUUUCCCAGUUCCCCAUUCCCAGUUCCCAUCCCCCAUUCCCAGUUCCCAGUCCCAGUCCCCAGUCCCCAUUCCCAGUCCCCAAUCCCCAAUUCCCAGUCCCCCUUUCCCAGUUCCCCAUUCCCAGUUUCCCAGUCCCCAUUCCCAGUUCCCAUUCCCAGUUCCCAUCCCCCAUUCCCAGUUCCCAUUCCCAGUUCCCAUCCCCCAUUCCCAGUUCCCAUUCCCAGUUCCCAGUCCCCAUUCCCAUUCCCAUUUCCCAGUUCCCAUUCCCCAUUCCCAGUUCCCAUCCCCCAUUCCCAGUUCCCAUCCCCCAUUCCCAGUCCCCCGUUGGAUCAGGAAUCACUCCCAGCCCGGGAUCCCCUCCUCAAUUCCCAACUCCCGCUCUCAUUUUCCCUUUUCUCCCUUUUUUCUCCUCAUUUUGGCCCCUCCGGGGGGACAAAGCUCCGGCCCCACCCCCAAUCCCAAAAAAACCUGGAAUUCCCGGCGGGAA